rnacentral:rRNA from 1 species
UACGUAGGGGGCUAGCGUUGUCCGGAUUUAUUGGGCGUAAAGAGCGUGUAGGCGGCCAUGUAGGUCCGGUGUGAAAACUCGAGGCUUAACCUCGAGAUGUCAUCGGAAACCAUUUGGCUAGAGUCCGGAAGAGGAGAGUGGAAUUCCUGGUGUAGCGGUGAAAUGCGCAGAUAUCAGGAAGAGCACCAAUGGCGAAAGCAGCUCUCUGGGACGGUACUGACGCUGAGACGCGAAAGCGUGGGGAGCAAACAGG